CUUCCGUUUAAGGGGUACUGCGGAAGGAUCAUUACAGAAUGAAAAGUGCUUAACUGCAUUUUUUCUUACACAUGUGUUUUUCUUUUUUUGAAAACUUUGCUUUGGUAGGCCUUCUAUAUGGGGCCUGCCAGAGAUUAAACUCAACCAAAUUUUAUUUAAUGUCAACCGAUUAUUUAAUAGUCAAAACUUUCAACAACGGAUCUCUUGGUUCUCGCAUCGAUGAAGAACGCAGCGAAAUGCGAUAAGUAAUAUGAAUUGCAGAUAUUCGUGAAUCAUCGAAUCUUUGAACGCACAUUGCGCCCUUUGGUAUUCCAAAGGGCAUGCCUGUUUGAGCGUCAUUUCUCCCUCAAACCCUCGGGUUUGGUGUUGAGCGAUACGCUGGGUUUGCUUGAAAGAAAGGCGGAGUAUAAACUAAUGGAUAGGUUUUUUCCACUCAUUGGUACAAACUCCAAAACUUCUUCCAAAUUCGACCUCAAAUCAGGUAGGACUACCCGCUGAACUUAA
rnacentral:misc_RNA from 1 species